CAGCAGUCCAGCCACUGCGGGGAGUCUUGGCAGGGCCUGCCUAAAAAUAAGCUUUCGGAUUUCCCCUCCCCCUGGUAGGGCAAAAGGAGGCUAGCUGGAAUAGAUUUCUAGGCAAGGAUUUGAGGGGGUGAUGGAGUGAGGUUGACAGGGACCUGCUAUAAACUGUGCCAUUGUGCCUAGGAAUGGGAGUCCAACGCUUCCGUGUCCGAAGUCUGUUUAACUAUAUUUGGACAAUGACCCUUUAGAGAUGCUGAUAAAGGCUACACAGAAUCCCAGAAACUGUCCACAACAAACUCACAGAUUCUGCCAUCUCUGCCCUGCUGAACCCCAAGUGAUCUAGACCAUGAGAGGUGUUUACAGAUCACUCACCACCCUCUCAUCUCCUUACAACAUCCA
rnacentral:lncRNA from 1 species